rnacentral:rRNA from 1 species
CCUACGGGUGGCAGCAGUGAGGAAUAUUGGUCAAUGGGCGAGAGUCUGAACCAGCCAAGUAGCGUGAGGGAUGACUGUCCUAUGGGUUGUAAACCUCUUUUAUAAGGGAAUAAAAUGUUGGACGUUUGGGAUUUUGUAUGUACCAUAUGAAUAAGGAUCGGCUAACUCCGUGCCAGCAGCCGCGGUAAUACGGAGGAUCCGAGCGUUAUCCGGAUUUAUUGGGUUUAAAGGGAGCGUAGGUGGAGUUUUAAGUCAGUUGUGAAAGUCUGCGGCUCAACCGUAAAAUUGCAGUUGAAACUGGUAGUCUUGAGUACAGUAGAGGUAGGCGGAAUUCGUGGUGUAGCGGUGAAAUGCUUAGAUAUCACGAAGAACUCCGAUUGCGAAGGCAG